rnacentral:lncRNA from 10 species
UGUUUGUAAUACACUUUAAUGAAGUUUUCUGGAUGUAUAUUUCACAAAAAAAAUUGAUUUCUAAACUUGCUAUUUUCUGUAUGACUUGUGUAUUAAUGUAUUAAUUGAAGUUAAGCAAGAACAAAAAAUAUUUUCUGAAGCCUGUAAAAUGGAGAGAAAUGCUCAAGAAUAUGUUUUGGAAGGUACCAGCAACAGGGCAGCUCCAGGGUUCACAACCCUUGGAACCCUGUCCUUAGGGUGUAGUUACGGGAUAAUUUGUUCAACCUCUUAUAUCCUGGGUCUCUCUAUUGAAAAUCCCAGUUCCUGGAAGAGAGAAUAGGAUUGGCCUGGUCAUAUUCCCUAUUGGUCACAUGUCCUGAUUUACCAGAGCCAUGUGGAGUCAGAGAGGGGUCAUUCUUCAAAGGCCAGGGAAUGAGAGGGAAGGAAGACUGCAUGGAUGAAAAUAACCUCCAAUCUGGACACUGUCAAAGCCAACAGACAGAAAACACCAAGAUCCAAGAAGGCAUGCAGCAUGGACACAGAAGGAUUCUGAAAUGAUUUUAGAUAUUUCGUGGUAUUGAGCAAAUCAGUAAACACAUUGUUGUUGAGAUCCAGAGUUCUCACUGUGGAGAAGAAAGUUACAAAUACAGAAAGAGAGAAGACAUGGAUGUAAGAAGAAUGGACUGCAAUUGGAGCAGUGCCUUGGCCCAUUUUAUAGCAUUGCUGUCCUGUGUAUACAUGUUUGCCUACAUUUCUCUUCAUGGAUUUAUGUGCAUAUGUGCAAGAGUGCCAAAGAAGAGAGCCUUGUGGGGAGAGGAAUUCCAGAUCACAGAAGAAUUCCCAUAUUCAAACAGGAUGUCCAUUAUACAUUCCUUGCUCAUCAUGAAGAACAGAACAAUGACAAGGACCAAGCAGAAUCAGAAGGUGGGAAUGGGACAGCUCUGCCAAUCACCAUCUUUUUUUUUUUUUUUUUUGACAGAGUCUCGCUCUGUCGCCCAGGCUGGAGUGCGGUGGCAUGAUCUCGGCUCACUGCAACCUCCACCUCCCAAGUUCAAGUGAUUCUCCUGCCUCAAGCUCCCAAGUAGCUGGGUUUACAGGCACGCACCACCACACCCUGUUAAUUUUGCAUUUUUAAUAGAGACGGGGUUUCACCCUGUUGACCAGGCUGGUCUCGAACUCCUGACCUUGGGUGAUCCACCCGCUGUGGCCUCCCAAAGUGCUGGGAUUACAAGCGUGAGCCACUGCGCCCGGCCCACAGUCACCAUCUUUAAAAGUCGUACCUUUCUUAUCUCAGAGUUCCCAGUUCUCCCUGUAAUAAGAUUUCUUUCUGUCCAAACAUAAAAUAAAAUAAAUCGGUGAAACUUGGUUUGUUUAUUGAAACAAAAUACAGUGAAAAAGCAUAAGACAGUUUCCUCUGGGUUUUGUGAUUUAUAUUCACAAAGUUAUUCUUCACAUUGACCUUUGCAAAGAUCCUUCUAUUUGAAUCACUCACUUCUCUUUAGAAUUGUGCGAUAGCUUGUCAAGCUUCAACUGCACGUGCCUCAGUCUAACAAAGGCUAUUAUCAGGGACGAUUUGUUUCAAGGGUUCCUCCUCUAGCGGGAUGAUUAUUUAGACAGAAGUUGUCCCCCUGAAUGUCUCCUCAAGAAAUUUGAAACAUAAAGACUAUAACAAGGUUGAACUUUGUCUUCAAUCAGCUAUAAACUUUCUUUAUUCCUCUUCCAUAUGCAAAC